rnacentral:tRNA from 1 species
UAAAAAUGUAUUUAUAAAAUACAAUAUUUAAUUUUACAAUGAAAAUGUAAUGUUUUUAUUUAUUAAACUAUAUAAAUUUAAGAAAU